AUUUAUUAAUACCAUUUUAUAAAAAUAAUUUUACAAGAUUUCUUUCUACGCCAAUAUUUCCCUAUUUCUGGCCAACAUUUCUGGCCGGGUAGGGUUUCUGUUUCCGAAUACUUGCGCACCACGGCUUCGAUAGAUUCAUUUAGAGUGGAAAAGGAACGCCUUGUUGCGGAUAUUCAUGCAAAUACUCCCGUGUUUAUAAAUCUCGAAAGCAUAAGACUGCUGCAAGCACAUUCUGGAAGUGGAUAAGAAAGAUCUUGGAGUCCUUCAGAAAAGUAUGAGGAAGAAUCUAUCUACUGGGAA